GGGGUUGUAGCUAUUCUUCAGUUUUUUGUUGGGAAGUUGCUGUAAUUGGUAGUUGCUUGAUCAAGAAUGCUAAUUUGUACUUGAUUUUGCUUUUAAAAUGGUUAAAGAAAGGUUCUUUGGAUUUUGGUUUGUUGGGAGUUUGCUUUAAACCUAUCAAGAAGUGUAAAAAGUUGAUUCAGUUUGAGGAGAUAAAAUGAAGGACUUUGCUGGCACACCUGGUACUUUAACUGGACUUUUUCUGAGGAUGGGUCAGUGCUUUUUUGCUGCUGGUGCAAUUGCCUCAAUGGUUACCUCUAAAGGUUUCUUCAAUGUCACUGCUUUUUGCUACUUAAUAGCCUCAAUGGCUUUGCAAGUCAUCUGGAGCUUCGGACUUGCGUUCUUUGAUGCCUAUUUCUUGGCAA
rnacentral:misc_RNA from 1 species